rnacentral:lncRNA from 1 species
AGGGUUUUUGGACCUAAAAGGUAUAACUCUCAACUAAAAACUGUACAGACAUAGGAUGCUCUGGUGUUAACAAGUUUUCAGUUGAACAUAAUUAAGCAUAACAGUUGCUGCUGUAUUUGUCUGCUUGCUGGGAAAAGUAGAUGUUCAAUGUCAAAGGCACAGCAUGCAGGGGAAUUUAUGUAUUUUUCUUUUUCUUUAGAGGUCACUUACCAUCAUGCAUGCAUGACGACUGACACCAUUAACUCUCUAUGAGCCCAAUUGCUUAACUGCAGCCACCCUGGCCCAAUUUAUGGGUGGUUUAAUCUUAGCACUACCAGACAAUUUCCCUACUUCCAAAACAAAAAGCUAGGAUGGAACUUGCAGUGUUACAAGGCUACUUCUUUUAUAAAUCUUUGGUAGAUUUUGUGCAGAUAGGCUUACAAUCUCAUGCCUACAUACAACAGAAAGAAAGAAAGAAAGAAAGAACAAGAUUCUUGUAUUUGAGUAUGAGAAUUCAGAUAGGCUUACAAUUCAAGUGUUUUCUCAACUUUUCAGGAUGAAGCAAUGUAAGCUCCAGUGGACAGUGAGCAAAGUUGUACAAACUAGGUCUCUAAGAAUGAGCUGAUGUUCUAAGAGGAAGCAAAGCAAUCAUGAAUUGGUUAGAAUAACAGGAAAGAAAGUGGUAUUGUCGAUUGUGUGUACAAAGUAUUAUUAGGUUAUGUCCAAGGUUAAGUCUGUCUCUAUGUUGUCGUAGAUUCUCGUCUACAUUCAUGAACUGCAUGUAGUUCAUUAUCCGCUUGAACCAAGUCGUCAAAUAAAAUGUCAUGUAAACUCAUGUGUUUGUGUUAUUCCUUAUUUGUAAGAAGUUGUACCUGUAGCAUAUUGUCGUCUCCAAUAUCUGGUUUAGCUGGCCACCAUGUUUAAUUUGGACUCCACAG